rnacentral:rRNA from 1 species
AUUGAACGUUGGCGGCAUGCCUUACACAUGCAAGUCGAACGGCAGCACGGGUGCUUGCACCUGGUGGCGAGUGGCGAACGGGUGAGUAAUACAUCGGAACGUACCUUAUCGUGGGGGAUAACGCAGCGAAAGCUGUGCUAAUACCGCAUACGCCCUGAGGGGGAAAGCGGGGGAUCGCAAGACCUCGCGCGAUUAGAGCGGCCGAUGCCUGAUUAGCUUGUUGGUGGGGUAAAAGCCCACCAAGGCGACGGUCAGUAGCUGGUCUGAGAGGACGAUCAGCCACACUGGGACUGAGACACGGCCCAGACUCCUACGGGAGGCAGCAGUGGGGAAUUUUGGACAAUGGGGGCAACCCUGAUCCAGCAAUGCCGCGUGAGUGAAGAAGGCCUUCGGGUUGUAAAGCUCUUUUGUCAGGGAAGAAACACCGGCUCUAACACAGUCCGGGAAUGACGGUACCUGAAGAAUAAGCACCGGCUAACUACGUGCCAGCAGCCGCGGUAA